UGCCCCAAUUUACCCUAAUUACUUUUACAUACAUUAAAAUACUAGUAAUGUAAAAGACCCAUGGACUAUAGCGCUCAGCUGAGUAUUACUUGUGGCAACUUAACGCUUGCCGCGACACGGGACCGUGACUUUCACUUCUAAAUGCCGGUCGUUUGUCAAAGGAAUCAAAUGCUCUAUCCAUUGAGCUAUGCAACCGGGGUUCCCUCACGUUCAUUAUGCAUGUCACAGUUGCAAUUUAUUUGAAAUAUAUUUAUGCGUUGUAAUCAUAUCGGUAUUCCUAUUGGCGCGCAUAGCCAAUUGAAUACAAACUAGUUUUUCAAGUAUGUGAGAGUCAGUGUGAACGUUUUGUAUUGUGCAGGUGGCCAUGGUAUGCAUGUAACCCCACCAAAAUCCCACUCUAAGCUAAUACCAAUACGGUUAUAUUGGACAGUCCUGGGUAACACAUGUCGAUUCACUCGAUGUAACUUUAAUAUUUUUCAUUUAUAAUACUGAAUGCCUGGUAAGAUUUACAUUUAUCUUGUAAUUCACUUACUUGUUGAAUAUAUGUAAUUAUACUGACAGUCGUAUUAAUAUUAGGAUAAUCGUUUAUCGUAAAUGUUUUUACGUCUUGUGUUUUAUGUAUGUUUAUUGUCUUAUGUGCAUGCAUGUUUGUGAGUUUGCUUUCGUAUUUUUUCUAGAUUUUUUCCCUUCUAUUGAAAUGAAAUAAUUGUCAGAGACCGACCCAAUUUUGUGUUGUUUGCAACAAAACAGCGACCCUGUGACAUACAUGUAAAAUUAGAGUGGAACUUCUGUUCUAUCUCGAGUAACAAGGCUUCAAAUAUAGACUAAUGUUUACAUUUCCAUUGAUAUCUGUACAAAUUGUUGUGAUAUGGAUUUCCUCAUGAACGUGCUGCAAUUGUUAACACUGCACGUGUGAAUUACACAACUACUUGACAGAUAUGGUCUAUUUUAAUGGCUGGGAAUCCCGAUAGAAAUGGAUGUAGAAUGUAAAUAUAAGAAAUAAAUUUCAUUUCUAAAAAUACAUAAGGGUAUGAUCUGCAACGCUUCACUCCGGCAUAUAUAUAUAUAUAUAUUAAAAGAAAUAGAGUAAACAGUACACAAAGUUAAAAAUUUAACGCAAGCGCUUUCAUUUUAUAAUCCUCAGGCGUUACAUUUUUAAAAUAGUUUUGAAAUGGUCUGACGUCAUAAAGGCGUCCUAACAUUUCACGUAUAACGACGUCAUAAACGAAUGAAGGGAAAAGGUUUUUACUUUAAGCAUAUUAUGACGUCAUAGAUAAUAACAGUAAACAUAUUUCACAGUAAGCUAUUGAGAGCCGGUUUUAAAGUCUUAAUAAAGUGUCUUUCUUUUUCUCGUCGGGAAAUAGUAUUUUCUGUAUACAGUUUAUAAAACGGAAAUACACUGAAUUCUCAGUGCAAGAUGUGUUUAAAAUUUGUUUCAAAACAUCUAGUGAUUCUUCUGUUCAGUGGCUACAGUUUAGAAUUUUACAUAGAAUUCUUCCUGUUGGUUAUUAUUUGAAAAACAUUAGUGUUAAAACAGAUGAUCUCUGUAGAUUUUGUACAAGCAAUAUUGAAACAAUAACACAUAUUUUUACUUUGUGUAAUAAGACCCAAACAUUGUGGAGUGAGUUAAGUCUUCAUAUAUAUAGAAAAAUUUCAGAAAGAAUUGGUUUUAAUGUGUCAAAUAUAAUAUUUGAUGAAAUUCCACUGUCUUUAAAUAAUAAAGCUAUAAACUUUAUAAUUCUAUAUGCUAAACAAUACAUAUUUAUCUGUUUAAUGCAGAAUAAAGAACCAAAUCUUGUUGGAUUACUAUGUCACUUAAAGUUUAAAUAUCAUGUAGAGAAAUACGCUGCAAUUCAAGCAUUUAAAAUACAUAACUUUGAUAAAAUAUGGAUGAAGUGGGAAAAUAUUUUUGCAAUUGAUUAAUUAUUACUACAUGUACUUGUCAUUAUUUUUAGUACAUGUAUUAUUGUUAUUAUUAUUACUUUCACUAUUGUACAGCAAGUAACCUAAACCACAGGGAGAUGUAUGCAUGUAUGUUUGUGUAAGUGUUUGAUGUAUUGUAUGUAACCAAAAAAAUAAAUAAAUUAUAAAAAAAAAAAAAAAAAAAA